GACGAACGCUGGCGGCGUGCCUAAUACAUGCAAGUAGAACGCUGAAGGAGGAGCUUGCUCUUCUGGAUGAGUUGCGAACGGGUGAGUAACGCGUAGGUAACCUGCCUGGUAGCGGGGGAUAACUAUUGGAAACGAUAGCUAAUACCGCAUAAGAGUAGAUGUUGCAUGACAUUUGCUUAAAAGGUGCAAUUGCAUCACUACCAGAUGGACCUGCGUUGUAUUAGCUAGUUGGUGGGGUAACGGCUCACCAAGGCGACGAUACAUAGCCGACCUGAGAGGGUGAUCGGCCACACUGGGACUGAGACACGGCCCAGACUCCUACGGGAGGCAGCAGUAGGGAAUCUUCGGCAAUGGACGGAAGUCUGACCGAGCAACGCCGCGUGAGUGAAGAAGGUUUUCGGAUCGUAAAGCUCUGUUGUAAGAGAAGAACGAGUGUGAGAGUGGAAAGUUCACACUGCGACGGUAUCUUACCAGAAAGGGACGGCUAACUACGUGCCAGCAGCCGCGGUAAUACGUAGGUCCCGAGCGUUGUCCGGAUUUAUUGGGCGUAAAGCGAGCGCAGGCGGUUAGAUAAGUCUGAAGUUAAAGGCUGUGGCUUAACCAUAGUACGCUUUGGAAACUGUUUAACUUGAGUGCAAGAGGGGAGAGUGGAAUUCCAUGUGUAGCGGUGAAAUGCGUAGAUAUAUGGAGGAACACCGGUGGCGAAAGCGGCUCUCUGGCUUGUAACUGACGCUGAGGCUCGAAAGCGUGGGAGCAAACAGG
rnacentral:rRNA from 1 species